GAUGAACGCUGGCGGCGUGCCUAAUACAUGCAAGUCGAGCGAACAGACGAGGAGCUUGCUCCUCUGACGUUAGCGGCGGACGGGUGAGUAACACGUGGAUAACCUACCUAUAAGACUGGGAUAACUUCGGGAAACCGGAGCUAAUACCGGAUAAUAUAUUGAACCGCAUGGUUCAAUAGUGAAAGACGGUUUUGCUGUCACUUAUAGAUGGAUCCGCGCCGCAUUAGCUAGUUGGUAAGGUAACGGCUUACCAAGGCAACGAUGCGUAGCCGACCUGAGAGGGUGAUCGGACACCCUGGAACUGAGACACGGUCCAGACUCCUACGGGAGGCAGCAGUAGGGAAUCUUCCGCAAUGGGCGAAAGCCUGACGGAGCAACGCCGCGUGAGUGAUGAAGGUCUUCGGAUCGUAAAACUCUGUUAUUAGGGAAGAACAAAUGUGUAAGUAACUAUGCACGUCUUGACGGUACCUAAUCAGAAAGCCACGGCUAACUACGUG
rnacentral:rRNA from 1 species